rnacentral:rRNA from 1 species
UACAGAGGGUGCAAGCGUUAAUCGGAAUUACUGGGCGUAAAGCGUGCGUAGACGGUUACAUAAGUCGGGUGUGAAAGCCCCGGGCUCAACCUGGGAAUUGCAUUCGAGACUGCGUAGCUAGGGUGCGGAAGAGGGAAGCGGAAUUUCCGGUGUAGCGGUGAAAUGCGUAGAUAUCGGAAGGAACACCAGUGGCGAAAGCGGCUUCCUGGUCCAGCACCGACGUCAGGCACGAAA